rnacentral:lncRNA from 1 species
GGGAACUCUCGGCACUCGAUGUCAUUCAGUACCUCCACCCGCCCCUGCCGUGUGAUCACCUCACCCUGGGAGUCCAGCACGAUGAGUGUCGGGAUGCCUUGUAUGCCGUAGAGUCGAUUCAGGCGUGACCUUCUGGCCUCAUCCGCAUACGGGACAGCUACCCAGGGCAUCUCACUGAAAUACUGCUUGAAGGAAUCCUCUGACCUGUCUGCACUAACGAAGAGUAUCUCAAAUUUCUGGCCAGCCUCCUUGAUCUUCCGGUAGGACUCCACCAGGACCCGUGUGAGGCUUCGGCAGGGUGGGCACCAGUGUGCAGAGAAGUAGACCCCGACAUGAGAGCCCUCCAGAGCACUGCUAUCUAGUGUCUGGCCAUUGUUCCUUAGCAGAGGUCCAGCAACAACUUCACUGAAGGGUUUUGGCCCCCAUGGGAACUCCAGACCUUCUGGGUCAUCACGGAUCACCAGGAGGCCAUUCCUGCAAACCACCUUCCCAGUAGAGGCAUCGAUAAAUAUCAGGGAAGGAAUGUUGGAGACUCUGUACUUGUUCCACAGUUUCAGCUUGCGGUGUUUCUCGGCGAAGGGCAGCGCCAGCCAAGGCAUGGCCCGCACGGCCUCCUGCCACUGCUGCUGCUCCUGCUCCGCCGACACGAAGACGAUCUCGAGGCGCUGAGCUCCGGCCGCCGCCGCCUCCCCCCUGAAGCGCCCGUAGAAGGCGGCCAAGCUGGCGCCGAGCUGCGCGCAGGGGCCGCUGAGGCUGCAGCCGAAGUACAGCCCCACCAACGAGACCCCGCGGGCGGCCAGCGCCGACACCGCCACCUCCUCGCCGUCCGCCGCCACCAGCACCUCGCCCAGCACCUCCGUCAGGGCGCCCGCCAUCCCGCGCCGCUCUGCUCCGCUCCCCGAUCCCGCUCUGCGCCGCUCCGCUCCGCUCCGCCCGGCCCGCCAGGGGGCGCUGUUGUGCGGCCAGGCCCGCGCCCGCCCCCGCCGCCCCCGCGCCCGGCCCGGCCCCCGCUCAGCGCCCGGCCCGACCCCCGGGGGGGGCUGUGGGGUGGCGCUGGGGGUCAGGGCGGGCCGCGCUCGGCCCGGGGUCUCCGAGCGGACGGGGAGAGGUUUCGGGAAGCCUGGAAAGUGCUCUUUGUUUUCCAAAAGGCGACACGGAUUGCGGUGUAGCCCCAACCCACGGCGGAGCGACAGACCCGAAUGGGAAUCCUGAAGGGCGCGGAUCGAUGGGCCGCAGCCGCUGCCGGGCCGCGCUUCCAACGGAGCACCGCGGUCAGAGCGCCGUCCUCGCGGGUGUCGGACGGCAGUGACGGCCCCGUGGGUGGGGCGGAGCGGCUGGAAGGCUGCGUGGAGGAGAAGGGUUUCGCCGUCCGACACCUGGUUGGGCAUUAGGAGACGUUUCUCCUCCGAAGCAGCGGUGGCAGAGGCUGCCCAGAGAGCUGGGAGAGCCCCCGUGCCCGGGGGUGUUCCAGGAGCACGGAGAUGGGGAGCUCAGGGAUGGGGUUGGCGGGCACAUGGGUGUUGGGGCACUGUUGGACCGGAUGGCCUUAGAGGGCUUUCACGGUCUUUAUUCCAGCUGGCUGCGGUGCAGAGACGAAGUAACGCCUGGGCCGUGGCACACAGACCAGGAUCCAGAUCAGAUUUGCUCCUCACGACCCGAACGUGCCCUCCUGGCCAGGCCCCUUACCCCGUCCACCCCCAUUCACCCCCGUCCAUUCGCUUUCCUGGGACGGCCCCGCUCCCAAUGGCCGCAGCGCAGACACCGCUCCCUGCAGCGCUUCCUCAUUGGGCCCCUGUUAUGGUGCUUCAAACUGCGGAGCAUCCGGAACCAUCAAGGGAUGCUUUAAUAAAUACAAUUAAUUACCCUUGUUAUUACAGCAUUACGAUCUGUCUUUUCCCGUGCCAAGACCCGCUCCCUCGGGGUGCUUCAAAGCCGGAGGAGUUUUGCCUUGUUUUUAUUUGUCCUGCCUUAUCUACAUUAAUUAAGUGCCGGGGCUCAUUAGGGCAGGGGAGCUGGUUUUGAGCCGGUGGCCCUGAACUCAAUGAACCUGUGUAGCACUAUGAAGACUCCGCUGUAGAAGUUACGGCUGCAGCCAAUGGGCCUGACCUGCACUCAGUGAGCCGGGUAGAAGAGACACGGAGCAACUAAAGAGCGUUUCUUGCUGUUAAAGAGCAGCCAGAGCAAAGGAGGAAAGGGCUGGCAGCCCACCUGCAGCCCCAUAGGGCGGGGGGGGUAUCACCCCGAGGAGGCACGAAUGUAUUGGAGGUUCAAAUCUUUGCGGUGACCUCGGUUGGUUUCCCCACAGUCGGUGCUUUUGGGGGUCUUUUCCUCAAGAGAGGAAACACGGAACGCGUGGCGCAAGGGAAGGUGAAGCCGACGGGUCCCAAAGCGGUGUCGGACGGUGAAACCCUGCGGAGGGGACCCCGCUGCCACCGCCCGACCCCCCCCGCCCCGCACGGAGCGCACUGCUCGGUCCUCUGGCGCCACCGCGCGGCUGCGGGCGGAACUGCGGCCGGGUCCUCCAUCCCUCCCCCUUAGCGGGCACUGCGUUGUGGAUGCUCUGACCGUUAAUCAAUAGCUGGCAGCGCAAGCAGCAGCGGAACCCCAAUCCACCCGGG